GACGAACGCUGGCGGCGUGCCUAAUACAUGCAAGUAGAACGAAGUUGCGAACGGGUGAGUAACGCGUAGGUAACUACCUCACAGCGGGGGAUAACUUUUGGAACCGAUAGCUAAUACCGCAUACUGUGAGAUGGACCUGCGUUGUAUUAGCUAGUUGGUGGGGUAAAGGCUCACCAAGGCGACGAUACAUAGCCGACCUGAGAGGGUGAUCGGCCACACUGGAACUGAGACACGGCCCAGACGCCUACGGGAGGCAGCGGUGGGGAAGAGUGGACAAUGGGCGAAAGCCUGAUCCAGCCAUGCCGCGUGUGUGAAGAAGGGCUUCGGAUUGUAAAGCGCUUUAAGUUGGGAGGCGUUACCAACAUAAGAAGCACCGACUAACUUCGUGCCAGCAGCCGCGGUAAUUC
rnacentral:rRNA from 1 species